rnacentral:rRNA from 1 species
GAUGAACGCUGGCGGCGUGCCUAAUACAUGCAGGUCGAGCGAACGGACGAGAAGCUUGCUUCUCUGAUGUUAGCGGCGGACGGGUCAGUAACACGUGGAUAACCUACCUAUAAGACUGGGAUAACUUCGGGAAACCGGAGCUAAUACCGGAUAAUAUUUUGAACCGCAUGGUUCAAAAGUGAAAGACGGUCUUGCUGUCACUUAUAGAUGGAUCCGCGCUGCAUUAGCUAGUUGGUAAGGUAACGGCUUACCAAGGCAACGAUGCAUAGCCGACCUGAGAGGGUGAUCGGCCACACUGGAACUGAGACACGGUCCAGACUCCUACGGGAGGCAGCAGUAGGGAAUCUUCCGCAAUGGGCGAAAGCCUGACGGAGCAACGCCGCGUGAGUGAUGAAGGUCUUCGGAUCGUAAAACUCUGUUAUUAGGGAAGAACAUAUGUGUAAGUAACUGUGCACAUCUUGACGGUACCUAAUCAGAAAGCCACGGCUAACUACGUG